rnacentral:pre_miRNA from 1 species
GGAGAAAAAGCAAGGAUUUUCGGAAGGUUAUGAGAUGGGUAAGUGGGGAAGAUAACUGUGGGGCUUUCGUUUUGUUUGUUAUCUUCCCUACUCCACCCAUUCCAUAGCUUUCCGAUCGUUCCUCUCUCUCC